rfam:Pan troglodytes isolate Yerkes chimp pedigree #C0471 (Clint) chromosome 16, whole genome shotgun sequence.
CCGUCCGGCUUCCUAGGCGGGGUGCCACGGGACCUCCCUCGUAUCUGUGGCGGUGGGAUUCCGUGGCCAUGUUUUCCUGGUGGCCUGGCU